AUUGAAGAUAGCAACUUGAUAUUUGGCAUGCAUGUGUAUCUCAUGGAGCUGCACAUUUUGAGUGGUGAAAGGUCAAGGUCAUCCUUCAAGGUCAGAGGUCAAAUAUAUGUGGCCCAAAUCGCUUAUUUUAUGAAAACUUUUGCAAUAUUGAAGAUAGCAACUUGAUAUUUGGCAUGCAUGUGUAACUUAUGGAGCUGCACAUUUUGAGUGGUGAAAGGUCAAGGUCAAGGUCAUCCUUCCAAGUCAAAUAUAUGGGUCAAAAUUGCUCAUGUAAUGCAACUUCUGCAAUAUUGAAGCUAGCAAUUUUAUAUUUGACAUGCAUGUGUAUCUCAUGGAGCUGCACAUUUUGAGUAGUGAAGGGUCAAGGUCAAGGUCAUCCUUCAAGGUCAAACGUCAUAUAGGGGGACAUUGUGUUUCACAAACACAUCUUGUUCUCAGCUACUUUCACUUUAAUGCAAUUUAGGUGCUUAAUUUCAUUAAAAUACUUUUAUAUAAUUUUAUUGUUCAAAGAAAUUCAGAACAUAAUAGAUGUACAUGUAUUACUUUCCAAGUGACAAUUUAAAAUAUAAUUGCAAAUCUAAAACUUGUGUAGGCAGCUUAGUAAAUUAUAAGUACCCAGGUGGGAUAAAAUUACAGUUUUUAAAAACUUUUUUGUUAAUUAGCUGGGCUUCAGUAGGUCGUGGAUCUUUUAUAGAACUUGUACUGCUGUUAUACUGUAGGGCUCCUGCAUGAUCUCUGAAAGAAAAACAAAGCAAACAAUAUUACAAGAAAGUCAUAAGUUUUUUACAUUCAUCUGUAAAAGUAAAUGUGCAGCAAUCAUAUGAUUGAAUAUCUAUACUUUAAUGCUCAUUCAUAUUUUUAUCUAUUUUAGAUAUUUCAUAUCACUGCUCAAUUCUGUACAUCUGGCUUUUUGUAUUCGAGCGAACAUUUACGAUCCUAAGUAGUUUGCAAGCGGGCUUUAAUCUACUUGCAAACAGGAAAACUGAGACUUUAAAGUGAAUAAAUUGGUGAUUUAACUUAUAUUUUUAUAAUGACUCUCUUUUAUUUUGAAAUUUAUAUUGUUGUUUUCUUAAAUGCCCCAAAACGGGGUACACUAGCAUGUUUCUGGAAACUCAAACAUAUAUAGGAAUUUUAUAUUCAGAUAUUGCUAUAUGAAAGUUAUGCUAAUUUGCUAAUUCAUAUAAAAAUAAC